rnacentral:lncRNA from 1 species
CUUAUGAUGUCACUAUAUGUAUGAAACUUGAUUCUGGCAUACAUAUAGGUAGCACUUGGUUUUGUCCUUAAAACCGGGUGUGACAGAAGUGGUAUCAGAGCUCUAUCGACUGUAGGACGUAAGCCUAGAUAGCAAUGGCCGCUUCUUAAGGUAUGUUUUACCAUAAAAAUAAUUCUUACCUUAUCAUUGACCUCUCUGAUCUCUAUUUUCACUCCUUGUACAUCUUAUCUACACCUUGGUUGCUUAUUUUUGAUCAACUUUGACUCUUAGUCCUUUACCCCCACCUUGUCUUGCUAUUUCUAAACUCUCCAUCCCUGACUUAUCUUGUGAAAAUUAUCACUCCUUGACCAUUUUCUUUUCUCAAUUCUCCUUGAUAACUUAGUCUUUUCCACCGGGCCCUUUUCAUUUGCACUUCUUGUUUUGCAAAUGUUAGACCCUCAACCCUUGUCUGUUUAUUUCCUCUCUCCUUGAUCACUGCUUGAUCAUGAUUAUACAUCUCCUCCU